CACCAACAGUCACAACUGAAAAUGCCAUCCAUCACUCAUCAAUUGUGUGUACAGGAGCUGAGCCCUCCUUCACUAGCUGCCAACAAGACCGGAUGAGCCAGUAGGCAGGAAGUUGUCCAGUGGAGGGAUUAAAGGUACCCAUGUCGAAAUUAGCUUAAAAAUCCUGAUUGGAAGUCAGUCUGCCUUGUACUGAAUUUGGCUUAAGAACUCGGGAAAAGAGAAGCUGUUUAGAGAAUCAACUAAAGCUCCACAUUUUGCGUUCACACCAUGUGUGUUUAAAACCUGGGCCUGACAUUUAUCAGGAAACUCAUGCACAGAGCUUCAACUUGGAAAACAAAGAGAACAAGCAGGCUACUCAGGAGCCAGUCUGUGCCAUCUUGUCAAGAAAGUAUCAGCUGAUGCCUAACACUUCCACACUUUAUAAGAAACACUUUUCUGGGUUGCCAUUCUUGCCUGGAUUUUAUUUCAUGAUUAGAGCACAUGAAAUUCAAAAUAACAAGAUGCCAACCCUGUCAAUCUAGCCUGUGAAAAUUACUUCCACCUUGAAGGCACCAGUAAUUGUCCCCCAAAAGAAAUAGCUAAUGUCCAAUCCCUAAUUCAACUAUCUCUGAUUUCAGGUAAAAUGUAGCAAAAAAAAAAAAAAAAAAAAAAAAAAAAAAAAAAAAAAAAAAGUACAACAUAACAUGCAGGGAAUAGAAAUCAAGGAACAUUUGGCUUCAGUGUUCUUAUUUUACAAGUAAAAAGAAAUGAGAGAGAUUAAAAUAAAUUUGUCCAAAAUCAGAGCCUCACUCAUUGGUUUUAAUUGUCUGGAGAAUCUCACUUCUCUGUGUAUUUCCCCACAAGGAAAAAAACAAGGAAUCAUUUUCCUUUCAUAAAGAGAGAGAAGGAAAUAAAGACGGUAGCAAAGCAACAGAAUUUAUCUUUAUGAAAGCAAAUUCUGUAGAUAUUUUGCCAAAAAGGACACAUAGUGAAAAUGGAUUAGUUCAUUUGAGUGGUUUGAGGAAAAUAUAGAUUUGUCAGUGAAACCAGAACUCAAGAAGAAAAUUUUGUGGGUCUGGAAGGACUUCAUAAUAUGGUCUCUGUGCUUUUGCUAUUUAAAAGAAAUACAAAAGAGGAUGUGAUGAAACAGCAUUGAAGUUAUAUGAUAUGGAUACAAUCUCUGACCCAGAAUCAAGAAUCUACAAAAGAUAGAGAAUAUGAAAAAAUGAACAUAAGAUAAAGAGACAUAUUAUGAAGAAUCAGAACUUAGCAAUCUAAGUCAUAUACAAUGAUGGAACUAUAAAGCUGCAGUGGAGAUGAAUGUGACUGUUCUGCUUGAGAAUGACAUAAAGUGAUACUGAGAGACAAAACUAUGUCAUGGGGUGAGAUGUGACUUGAGCUGCUAGACCUGCAUACAUAGAGGUGCCAUUCAGUGGAUGUUUGAAGACAUAUGGAGCUUUAACAUCAUAUGACCUCAGUUCGGAUCUUCUUUUGGGCAGUUCUCUAUCACAACACGUGAGAAACAAAGAAGACCAAUGAUUGAAGUGGGGGUGCAAGACAACCAUUGGAAGAGCCAUCCUUGGACAGCUGGUCUUGGGCUGUAUCCAAAAAUCUGGAGAAAGCCUGUAGUCAGGGUUCCUGCUUCAAGCUUCUGCACUGAGUCCAUAC
rnacentral:lncRNA from 1 species